UCGUGGUGCCCUUCGGGCAUUUCCUCCCUGGACUUGGGCCGCGCCUCGACGUGCGGCCCUCUUUUUUUAAAGUU
rfam:Hyphomicrobium sp. SCN 65-11 ABS54_C0100, whole genome shotgun sequence.